UACAGAGGUCUCGAGCGUUGUUCGGAUUCAUUGGGCGUAAAGGGUGCGUAGGCGGCGAGCUAAGUUUGGUGUGAAAUCCUGGGGCUUAACCUCAGAAUUGCACUGAAUACUGGUUUGCUUAGAGGACUGGAGAGGAGAUUGGAAUUCACGGUGUAGCAGUGAAAUGCGUAGAUAUCGUGAGGAAGACCAGUGGCGAAGGCGAAUCUCUGGACAGAUCCUGACGCUGAGGCACGAAGGCCAGGGGAGCAAACGGG
rnacentral:rRNA from 1 species